GUCUACGGCCAUGCCACCCUGAACGUGCCGAUCCCGUCUGAUCUCGGAAGCUGAGCAGGAUUGGGCCUGGUUAGUAUUUGGAUGGGAGACCACCUAGGAAGACCAGGUGCGGUGCUGU
rnacentral:rRNA from 1 species